CCGGCACGGGUGAGCAACGCGUAUGCAACUUACCUAUCAGAGGGGGAUAACCCGGCGAAAGUCGGACUAAUACCGCAUAAAGCAGGGAUCCCGCAUGGGAAUAUUUGCUAAAGAUUCAUCGCUGAUAGAUAGGCAUGCGUUCCAUUAGGCAGUUGGCGGGGUAACGGCCCACCAAACCGACGAUGGAUAGGGGUUCUGAGAGGAAGGUCCCCCACAUUGGUACUGAGACACGGACCAA
rnacentral:rRNA from 1 species